rnacentral:ncRNA from 1 species
GAAAAUUCAAAAAUAUAUUCCUUUAACAGAUGAAAUAAAAGACAUGUGGAAUCAGAACACAGUUCGAAUUAUUCCAAUAAUAAUAUCAUCAAUAGGCGUUAAACCUAAAACAUUACACUCUAGCCUAGCCCUUAACAGUACUGACAUAUCCCCCUUUUCAAAAAACACAACAGGUUAAAUAAGAAGCGGAGUUUUUAAAACUCACUGAUCAUAUUUCAGGGCAAGCAGAUACCGUCAGCUCCCUAAACUUUAAGAAGAGAAAAUUGGUUUCUAUAUCCCAAAAGAUGUGUGAGGUUCUUAGGCAUUAGCCCGUCUUCACUUGCUCAAAGUUGCCAGUGAAAACUGAGAAGACCAGGAGAAUAAUAACAAUCGAUGGUAGGUUCUGCGCCUAACAUGGUUGUAAUGGGUAAUGGGGAACCAAGGUUCGAUUCCGGAGAGGGAGCCUGAGAAACGGUUACCACAUCCAAGGAAGGCAGCAGGAGCGCUAAUUAUCCACUCCCGGUAAGGGGAGGUAGUGACGA